rnacentral:rRNA from 1 species
GUACCGUGAGGGAAAGGUGAAAAGUACCCUGAGUAAGGGGGUGAAAUAGUACCUGAAACCGUGCGCUUACAAGCGGUCGGAGGUCUUUAGUGGACUAACGGCGUGCCUUUUGCAUAAUGAGCCUACGAGUUACUGUUGUUGGCGAGGUUAAGAACUUAAGGUUUGUAGCCGGAGCGAAAGCGAGUCUUAACAGGGCGUUUAGUCAGCAGUAGUAGACGCGAAACUUUGUGAUCUACCCAUGAGCAGGGUGAAGUGUAGGUAACACUACAUGGAGGCCCGAACCAGUUGACGUUGAAAAGUCUUUGGAUGACUUGUGGGUAGGGGUGAAAGGCCAAUCAAACUGAGAGAUAGCUCGUACUCCCCGAAAUGCUUUUAGGAGCAGCGUGGAGGUUUAGUUUAUCAGAGGUAGAGCUACCAAUUGGACUAGGGGGAGUCAAAUCCUACCAAAUCCAGAUGAACUCCGAAUGCUGAUAAAUAUACUUCACAGUGAGGGUUGGGGUGCUAAGGUCCCAAUCCGAGAGGGAAAGAACCCAGACCUACAGCUAAGGUCCCAAAAUCUACUCUAAGUUGAACUAAGGGGGUCCAGUUGCUUAGACAGCCAGGAUGUUGGCUUGGAAGCAGCCAUUCAUUUAAAGAGUGCGUAACAGCUCACCAAUCGAGAGACUUUGCGCCGAUAAUGAUCGGGACUAAGCAUAGAGCCGAAAUCGCGGGUGCGCUACUAUUUGUAGCGCGCGGUAGGAGAGCGUAGUAUGUGCAACGAAGGUGUACCGUAAGGAGCGCUGGAGCGCAUACUAGUGAGGAUGCAUGGCAUAAGUAUACGAUAAAGGGAGUGAGAAUCUCCCUCGCCGAAAACCUAAGGUUUCCAGGGUAAAGCUCGUCUUCCCUGGGUUAGCCGGUCCCUAAGCUGAGGCUGAAAAGCGUAAGCGAUGGAAAGCAGGUUAAAUAUUCCUGUGCCGCCUAAAACUAUGACAAUGGGGUGACGGAGUAAGUUAAGCACGCGGGCUAUUGGAUGUCCGUUCUUCUAUGAGGUUGGUCAGUAGGUAAAUCCGCUGACGUAAUACCAGGUAGGAGACAAGGGGAAUCUUCGGAGGAACCGAUGGUGUAGCGCGAUGCUUCCAAGAAAUAACCUCUAGUCGUUGAUGGCGACCGUACCAAAACCGACACAGGUAGGUGGGAAGAAUAUUCUCAGGCGCGCGAGAGAACUCUCGUUAAGGAACUCGGCAAAUUAUCCUCGUAACUUCGGGAGAAGAGGAGCCUCCGAGCGUGAUGCCUUCGCGGCUAAGCGCUUAGAGGCCGCAGAGAAUAGGCCCAGGCGACUGUUUAGCAAAAACACAGCACUAUGCAAACUCGUUUAAGAGGAAGUAUAUGGUGUGAUGCCUGCCCAAUGCCAAAAGGUCAAUAGGAGAUGUCAGCCCUUCGGGGCGAAGCAUUGAAUUUAAGCCCUGGUGAAUGGCGGCCGUAACAAUAACGGUCCU